CAAACGGCCCUUUUAAGGGCCACCAAUAAAAUAUAACCAGAACAU
rfam:Lasius niger Lnig_2.1_27524, whole genome shotgun sequence.